rnacentral:rRNA from 1 species
GUCGAGCGGAUGAGUGGAGCUUGCUCCACGAUUCAGCGGCGGACGGGUGAGUAAUGCCUAGGAAUCUGCCUGGUAGUGGGGGACAACGUUUCGAAAGGAACGCUAAUACCGCAUACGUCCUACGGGAGAAAGCAGGGGACCUUCGGGCCUUGCGCUAUCAGAUGAGCCUAGGUCGGAUUAGCUAGUUGGUGAGGUAAUGGCUCACCAAGGCGACGAUCCGUAACUGGUCUGAGAGGAUGAUCAGUCACACUGGAACUGAGACACGGUCCAGACUCCUACGGGAGGCAGCAGUGGGGAAUAUUGGACAAUGGGCGAAAGCCUGAUCCAGCCAUGCCGCGUGUGUGAAGAAGGUCUUCGGAUUGUAAAGCACUUUAAGUUGGGAGGAAGGGUUGUAGGUUAAUACCCUGCAAUUUUGACGUUACCGACAGAAUAAGCACCGGCUAACUUCGUGCCAGCAGCCGCGGUAAUACGAAGGGUGCAAGCGUUAAUCGGAAUUACUGGGCGUAAAGCGCGCGUAGGUGGUUUGUUAAGUUGGAUGUGAAAGCCCCGGGCUCAACCUGGGAACUGCAUCCAAAACUGGCAAGCUAGAGUAUGGCAGAGGGUGGUGGAAUUUCCUGUGUAGCGGUGAAAUGCGUAGAUAUAGGAAGG